rnacentral:lncRNA from 1 species
AGGUAAAAUAAACAAAGGGUGCGUUUGGUUCGAGUUAUCCUGACAGGAUUACAGGCAAUCCUGCCAGGAUAACUGUGUUUGGUUAAUCCGCUAUGUAAUCUGGUCGUUAAUGUAGCAUUACAAAUCGAGCAGGAUUACAUCAAAAAUAUUAACGGGAGGGGGGUCGUGUAUCUUGCAUUACUGAAACCCGUUAAUACUACAUAUUAUGUAAAAUGACAAUUAUACCCUCCAACAACCCCAAAUCUAAUUAACAGUAUUAUUUUCAUCUCUCUCUCGCCUUCGUCCCGGCCCUCUCUCUCGCACGCCGCUUUCUCUCGCUCUCUCUCGACGUCUCUCUCUCUUUCUCUCUCUCGCGCACGAACACCUAUCAUCUUCUAUUGCGUCAUCCUCCCAAAUAAUUAUCACGAUCUCCUUCUCUCCAUUCGUCAUUUCCUCAAAAAACAAUAUUCAAAUGACUACAACAUAGGCAAUUUUGGAAAAAACUAUACUUUUAUGUCAGGAUUACUAAAUUUUAUAAACUGAACCAAACAUAUUAAUGCUAUAAACACUGUAAUCUAGUAUUACAUUACUGUAUUAAACCAAACGCUCUAAUGCAGCAUUAGUAGUAAUCUCACGCCGAAAUCCAACAUAUCUGGAUAUGUCGAGAUACUUUGUAAUAUUACAUAACUCGAACCAAACGAGCCCAAAGAGAGUCCUUACAAAGAUCAUUAAUUA